GCUCCUGCAAGCAUAGAGUGCAUGCACUUUGGGAGAGUGAAGAAAAUAAUGUUUACAAAGCCCAUACACUUUUACCCUUCAGGAAAG
rnacentral:pre_miRNA from 1 species